UACGUAGGGGGCAAGCGUUGUCCGGAAUUAUUGGGCGUAAAGAGCGCGUAGGCGGUCCGAUAAGUCGGCUGUGAAAGUCAGGGGCUCAACCCUUGAAAGCCGGCCGAUACUGUCGGACUAGAGUCCGGAAGAGGCAAGUGGAAUUCCCGGUGUAGCGGUGAAAUGCGCAGAUAUCGGGAGGAACACCGGUGGCGAAGGCGGGGUCUCUGGGCAACAACUGACGCUGAGGAGCGAAAGCGUGGGGAGCGAACAGG
rnacentral:rRNA from 1 species